rnacentral:rRNA from 1 species
CAGCAGCCACGGUAAUACGAAGGGGGCUAGCGUUGUUCGGAUUUACUGGGCGUAAAGCGCACGUAGGCGGAUGAUUAAGUCAGGGGUGAAAUCCCGAGGCUCAACCUCGGAACUGCCUUUGAUACUGGUCAUCUUGAGUCCGGGAGAGGUGAGUGGAACUGCGAGUGUAGAGGUGAAAUUCGUAGAUAUUCGCAAGAACACCAGUGGCGAAGGCGGCUCACUGGCCCGGUACUGACGCUGAGGUGCGAAAGCGUGGGGAGCAAACAGGAUUAGAUCCCCGGUAGUCCCUGUCUCUUAUACC